rnacentral:rRNA from 1 species
GUUGCCAACGGGUUAGGCCGGGAACUCAAAGGAGACUGCCAGUGAUAAACUGGAGGAAGGUGGGGAUGACGUCAAGUCAUCAUGGCCCUUACGAGUAGGGCUACACACGUGCUACAAUGGCGCAUACAAAGAGAAGCGACCUCGCGAGAGCAAGCGGACCUCAUAAAGUGCGUCGUAGUCCGGAUCGGAGUCUGCAACUCGACUCCGUGAAGUCGGAAUCGCUAGUAAUCGUAGAUCAGAAUGCUACGGUGAAUACGUUCCCGGGCCUUGUACACACCGCCCGUCACACCAUGGGAGUGGGUUGCAAAAGAAGUAGGUAGCUUAACCUUCGGGAGGGCGCUACCAC